GCCCAGACAGCCAGGAGGUUGGCUUAGAAGCAGCCAUCCUUUAAAGAAAGCGUAACAGCUCACUGGUCUAGUCGGCCUGCGCGGAAGAUUUAACGGGGCUUAAGCCGUAUACCGAAGCUGCGGCUCGAUACUUUCUUCGGAUCGUAUCGGGGGUAGGGGAGCGUUCUGUAAGCCAGUGAAGGUGCGUCGCGAGGCGUGCUGGAGGUAUCAGAAGUGCGAAUGCUGACAUGAGUAACGAUUAUGCGGGUGAAAAACCCGCACGCCAGAAGCCCAAGGUUUCCUGCGCAACGCUAAUCGGCGCAGGGUGAGUCGGCCCCUAAGGCGAGACCGAAAGGUGUAGUCGAUGGGAAACAGGUCAACAUUCCUGUACCGGCCGUAACUGCGAUGGGGUGACGGAGAAGGUUAGGCCUACCGGGCGUUGGUUGUCCCGGGGAAAGUAGGUAGGCGGGCGCUUUUGGAAAAUCCGGAGCGCCGUUAACGCCGAGAUACGAGACCACCGGCAUUGCCGGGAAGUGGCUUACACCAUGCUUCCAGGAAAAACCUCUAAGCAUCAGGUUACGGGCGACCGUACCGUAAACCGACACAGGUGGGCAGGGAGAGAAUCCUAAGGCGUUUGAGAGAACUCGGGUGAAGGAACUAGGCAAAUUGGUACCGUAACUUCGGGAGAAGGUACGCCUUUGACGGUGACGGGACUUGCUCCCUGAGCUGUCGGAGGCCGCAGUGACCAGGUGGCUGCGACUGUUUACUAAAAACAUAGCACUCUGCUAACUCGCAAGAGGAUGUAUAGGGUGUGACGCCUGCCCGGUGCCGGAAGGUUAAGUGAUCUUGUUAGCCCUUUUGGGCAAAGCUCGUGACCGAAGCCCCGGUAAACGGCGGCCGUAACUAUAACGGUCCUAAGGUAGCGAAAUUCCUUGUCGGGUAAGUUCCGACCUGCACGAAUGGCGUAACGAUGGCCACACUGUCUCCACCCGGGACUCAGUGAAAUUGAAAUUGCUGUGAAGAUGCAGUGUACCCGCGGCUAGACGGAAAGACCCCGUGAACCUUUACUACAGCUUUGUACUGGAUCUUGAGCCAGCUUGUGCAGGAUAGGUGGGAGGCUUUGAAACGAGGACGCCAGUUCUCGUGGAGCCAACCUUGAAAUACCACCCUGGCUUGUUUGAGGUUCUAACCCAGGCCCGUUAUCCGGGUCGGGGACAGUGCAUGGUGGGUAGUUUGACUGGGGCGGUCUCCUCCCAAAGAGUAACGGAGGAGCACAAAGGUACCCUCAGCGCGGUCGGACAUCGCGCAUUGCGUGUAAAGGCAUAAGGGUGCUUGACUGCGAGACGUACAAGUCGAGCAGGGACGAAAGUCGGUCUUAGUGAUCCGGUGGUUCUGUAUGGAAUGGCCAUCGCUAAACGGAUAAAAGGUACUCCGGGGAUAACAGGCUGAUUCCUCCCAAGAGUCCACAUCGACGGAGGAGUUUGGCACCUCGAUGUCGGCUCAUCACAUCCUGGGGCUGUAGCAGGUCCCAAGGGUAUGGCUGUUCGCCAUUUAAAGUGGUACGCGAGCUGGGUUUAGAACGUCGUGAGACAGUUCGGUCCCUAUCUGCCGUGGGCGUUGGAAACUUGAGGGGAGCUUCUCCUAGUACGAGAGGACCGGAGUGGACGUACCUCUGGUGUUCCGGUUGUCACGCCAGUGGCAUUGCCGGGUAGCUAUGUACGGAAGGGAUAACCGCUGAAAGCAUCUAAGCGGGAAGCCCACCCCAAGAUUAGGUUUCCCGGAUCUUCGGAUCCCUGAAGGGCCCUUGAAGACUACAAGGUUGAUAGGCUGGGUGUGGAAGCGCGGCAACGCGUGAAGCUAACCAGUACUAAUUGCCCGUGCGGCUUAA
rnacentral:rRNA from 1 species